GUUUACCCAACUCACAGUGCUCACUGCUGCAAAGAAGAACAAGCACACAGGCAAAAAGUUUUCCCAGCAAGAAUGCCAGGGUGAAAGGAAAGAUCAAUUGGACCAGAGCACAAGUGCUGCUCCAGUUACUUGGCAGAGUACCUAAUAGUGAUCCACCACAAUACCACCAUAUAUCUGUUUGGGAAUAAACAAGGGCAAGUUGACUGCUUAAGAGUGAUGACAUGCAACUCAGUCUCUUGCAACACCACCUGAGAAAAGGAAGCACUAGCAGGAAGAACAAAUUGAUGGAGAGGAAAAGUGAUGAAUACAGAUAAGAAGCACAGCUGGUGGAGGCUCAUGUGCCAGUUUACUGGGCCUCAG
rnacentral:lncRNA from 1 species